UCCCUAGGUGAACCUGCGGAAGGAUCAUUGUCGAAACCUGCUCAGCAGAACGACCCGCGAACCAGUGAUGCAUGCCGGUGGGGGAGAGGCGCCGGGCGCGCGAGCGUCGGGCGUCUCGCCCUCCCCUCGUCGCGGGAUGGGGUCCCGUCCGCGAGUCCCGUUCCCGCGACGUAACAACGAACCCGGGCGCGGACUGCGCCAAGGAAAUACAACGAGAGAGCGUUCUCCCGCCGCCCCGUACACGGUGCGCGCGCGGGAGGGCCGCCUUCUUUCACUUAAUCCACAACGACUCUCGGCAACGGAUAUCUCGGCUCUCGCAUCGAUGAAGAACGUAGCGAAAUGCGAUACUUGGUGUGAAUUGCAGAAUCCCGUGAACCAUCGAGUCUUUGAACGCAAGUUGCGCCCCAAGCCGUUAGGCCGAGGGCACGUCUGCCUGGGUGUCACGCAUCGUCGCCCCCCUCGCGCCCGCCUCCCUGAGGCGGAGCGGUCGGGGCGGAAAAUGGCCUCCCGUGUGCUCCCCGCAAGCGGUUGGCCGAAAUUCGAGUCCUCGGCGACAGUUGCCGCGACGAUCGGUGGUGAAACCAAAGCCUCGAGUUACCGUCGCGCGCCGCUGUCCCCGGGCAAAGGGCUCCUGGACCCUGAUGCGCCGAACGAACGGCGCUCGCUUUGCGACCCCAGGUCAGGCGGGACUACCCGCUGAGUUUAAGCAUAUCAAUAAGCGGAGGA
rnacentral:rRNA from 1 species